AGAGUUAAACAGUACGUGAAAUUGUUGAAAGGGAAACGCUUGAAGUCAGUCGUGCUGGCGCGAAAUCAACCUGCCCGUUGAGCGAUCACCUGCUGUGGCGAGCCUCAAAACCGCCACGACUCGUGAUCGCUUAAUGGUCUGGCGCACUUUUGUGUCGGCUGGUUAACAUCAAUUUCUUACGUCAUAAAAAGGCUGGAGGGAUGUGGCUCCUUCGGGAGUGUUAUAACCUUUGGCGGAAUGUGAUGUUUGGGAUUGAGGAUUGCAACGAAUACCUUUAGGGCUGUUCCACCUGGCCUCUCGUUGGCAUCCUGGCGGCGACAGCUUGCUGACGUCGUUAGGAUUCGCCUUCGAACAGGCUAGAGUGUGAGCAAAUUUGUUAAGGAUGUUAACGUGUAAUGGCUUUAAACGACC
rnacentral:rRNA from 1 species